AUUGAACGCUGGCGGCAUGCUUUAUACAUGCAAGUCGUGCGGCAGCGCGGGGGCAACUCUGGCGGCGAGCGGCGAACGGGUGAGUAAUACAUAGGAACGUAUCCUGAAAUGGGGGAGUAGCUCGGCGAAAGCCGGAUUAAUACCGCAUACGCUCCACGGAGGAAAGCAGGGGAUCGCAAGACCUUGCGUUUCUGGAGCGGCCUAUGUCUGAUUAGCUAGNGGUCGGGGUAAUAGCCCACCAAGGCGACGAUCAGUAGCUGGUCUGAGAGGAUGAUCA
rnacentral:rRNA from 1 species